CAGCCGCCGCGGUAAUACGAAGGGUGCAAGCGUUACUCGGAAUUACUGGGCGUAAAGCGUGCGUAGGUGGUGGUUUAAGUCCGUUGUGAAAGCCCUGGGCUCAACCUGGGAAUUGCAGUGGAUACUGGGUCACUAGAGUGUGGUAGAGGAUAGUGGAAUUUCCGAUGUAGCAGUGAAAUGCGUAGAGAUCGGAAGGAACAUCUGUGGCGAAGGCGACUAUCUGGGCCAACACUGACACUGAGGCACGAAAGCGUGGGGAGCAAACAGGAUUAGAUACCCCUGUAGUCCCUGUCUCUUAUAC
rnacentral:rRNA from 1 species